ACUCCUGCGGGAGGCAGCAGUGGGGAAUAUUGCACAAUGGGCGCAAGCCUGAUGCAGCCAUGCCGCGUGUAUGAAGAAGGCCUUCGGGUUGUAAAGUACUUUCAGCGGGGAGGAAGGCGAUAAGGUUAAUAACCUUGUCGAUUGACGUUACCCGCAGAAGAAGCACCGGCUAACUCCGUGCCAGCAGCCGCGGUAAUACGGAGGGUGCAAGCGUUAAUCGGAAUUACUGGGCGUAAAGCGCACGCAGGCGGUCUGUCAAGUCGGAUGUGAAAUCCCCGGGCUCAACCUGGGAACUGCAUUCGAAACUGGCAGGCUAGAGUCUUGUAGAGGGGGGUAGAAUUCCAGGUGUAGCGGUGAAAUGCGUAGAGAUCUGGAGGAAUACCGGUGGCGAAGGCGGCCCCCUGAACAAAGACUGACGCUCAGGUGCGAAAGCGUGGGGAGCAAACAGGAUUAGAAACCCUAGUAGUCCCA
rnacentral:rRNA from 1 species